GCUUAUGGCCAUAUCAUGCUGAGAGCACCGGUUCUCGUCCGAUCACCGAAGUUAAGCAACGUCGAGCCUAGUGAGUACUUAGAUGGGUGACCGCUUGGGAAACCUAGGUGCUGUAAGCA
rfam:Octopus bimaculoides Scaffold67579_contig_15, whole genome shotgun sequence.